rnacentral:rRNA from 1 species
UACGGAGGGGACUAGCGUUGUUCGGAAUUACUGGGCGUAAAGCGCACGUAGGCGGCUUUGUAAGUCAGGGGUGAAAUCCUGGAGCUCAACUCCAGAACUGCCUUUGAUACUGGCGAUCUCGAGUCCGGGAGAGGUGAGUGGAACUGCGAGUGUAGAGGUGAAAUUCGUAGAUAUUCGCAAGAACACCAGUGGCGAAGGCGGCUCACUGGCCCGGUACUGACGCUGAGGUGCGAAAGCGUGGGGAGCAAACAGG